GGGAUCUCGUUUAAACAGUUUAAGAAGCUUUCAUUUUCACUCAUUUUAAUUUCUCUUCAAAUAACAGCUCGCCAUGUUCGCUAUGCAUAAAACAUUAUUAUAGUUACCAUAUAUUUAUUUUCGUUACCAUAUUUAAUUUUUGUACGAAGCUGUACCAUACUAACAGCAUGACAAUAAUAAUAAUAAUAAUAAUAAUAAUAAUAAUAAUAAUAAUAAAGUAAGAACAAUAAAAUUAAUUUAUUUAACUGAAUCAGCUUUUUUUAUUUAUUUAUUUAUUAUUAUUAUUAUUAUUUUUUUUUGUAUCAGCUUUAAAUAUGAUAGGAUUUAUAGGACGUAUUGUUUACGUGCGGUACCCACAGCAGGUAUCCUGAGCCACGCCCAUUGUACGCAAAUCUUUAAACUCCUGUCCAAUCAGCUUCCAGUUCCAAGCGCGGCUCAUGAAUAAACAUAACUUUUUAAUACUACAUCGAGAGACUGGUGGAUGGUGUGGAGGUUUAGUUGGGGGAUAUUGACAGAAAACCCGUGGACCCCAACAAAUCUCCUAAAAAGAACUAUUUAGUCUCCUUCAAGUCAUCAGGGUGACUAUGGCGCACGCCGGAGCUCUCCGCGCGUCCCUGCUACUGAUUUUACUGCAGUUAGUCCUGAUCAUCUCAGCACAGAGGGGGCCAGUUGGUCCCAGAGGACCACCCGGACCUCCAGGGCUUCCUGGGUUUUCUGGUGUUGACGGCAUUGAUGUGAGUCACAUAUCUAUCUAUCUAUCUAUCUAUCUAUCUAUCUAUCUAUCUAUCUAUCUAUCUAUCUAUCUAUCUAUCUAUCUAAUUCCUCAGAGAUUCUCUGAUUUCUCAGUUUACAGUAUGGUAUAUUCUUGUAGCCUGGAAUAACAACUCUAUUUGAGUUAUUUAGUUAGUAUUUCAUAUGAUUUCAGGGUGAUAGGGGACCUGGCCCUGGCCCAGAUGGCCCCCCAGUAAGUAUUUAUCUUUUUUGCGACAAAAAAAAAAGAGUUCUGCAUAGCUGAAAUGAUGUGCAACAGUCCAUUAAUCUGAUGAAUUCGUCAGGGCCUUGAUGGGGACAAUGGCAAGGAUGGAUUAAAUGGCCUUCCAGGAAAACCAGGAGCGGAUGUGAGUCUUGUUCUUUAUUAUCGUAAAGGUCUAGAAACCAAGAUAAAAUCAGCUUUUCUUUUCUAAGUAGCACUUGCAGCAUCAGAGUCUGUGAGUGUAGUUUACAUUGGAGGGGUCUGAGUGAAAAAAAGCUGCUGGAUGGAAAAAAGAACCAGAGAGGAGAGGAAAGCGAAAGCAGAGAGAGCCC
ensembl:lncRNA